rnacentral:lncRNA from 1 species
AUAAAUAAUUCUAUCAAUUUUUAUAAUUAUAAAAAAAAAAUUUAUAAAAAUUAAUUAUAAAAAUAAGUCUCUAUUAUGUUAAAAUCGAAACGGCGAAAAAUAGAUCCAGAAAAAUAACUUAAUGCAAGAAAAAAAAAAAUAAGAAAAGAACACACCGAUAUUUACGUGGUUCGGCCAACGGCCUACGUCCACGGGCGAAGACGGAGCAAAUACUUUAUUAAUGUCAAAAAGGCGGAAUACAAGAAAAUCUCUUAAAGACCAAAACUUCAUUAGAUCCGAAACGCCGCAACAAGAAACUCCAANUAU